CGAACGGGUGAGUAAUGCGUGACCAACCUGCCCCAUGCUCCAGAAUAGCUCUUGGAAACGGGUGGUAAUGCUGGAUGCUCCAACUUGACGCAUGUCUUGUUGGGAAAGUGUUUAGUGGCAUGGGAUGGGGUCGCGUCCUAUCAGCUUGUAGGCGGGGUAAUGGCCCACCUAGGCUUCGACGGGUAGCCGGCCUGAGGGGGCGGACGGCCACAUUGGGACUGAGAUACGGCCCAGACUCCUACGGGAGGCAGCAGAC
rnacentral:rRNA from 1 species